CCUAGUAGCGGCGAGCGAAGCGGGAAGAGCUCAAAUUUGUAAUCUGGCACUUUCAGUGUCCGAGUUGUAAUCUCGAGAAGUGUUUUCCGCGCUGGACCGCAUACAAGUCUGUUGGAAUACAGCGUCAUAGUGGUGAGAACCCCGUACAUGAUGCGGAUGCCCAGUGCUUUGUGAUACACUUUCGAAGAGUCGAGUUGUUUGGGAAUGCAGCUCAAAUUGGGUGGUAAAUUCCAUCUAAAGCUAAAUAUUGGCGAGAGACCGAUAGCGAACAAGUACCGUGAGGGAAAGAUGAAAAGCACUUUGGAAAGAGAGUUAACAGUACGUGAAAUUGUUGGAAGGGAAACGCUUGAAGUCAGACUUGCGUAUUGGAGUUCAGCCGCAAGGUGUAUUCUUCAGUUUGCAGGCCAGCAUCAGUUUUCGGGGGUGCAAAAGGGUGAGAGAAAGGUAGCAACUCCGGUUGUGUUAUAGUCUCUCACUGGAUGCAUCUUUGG
rnacentral:rRNA from 1 species